rnacentral:misc_RNA from 1 species
GAUAAGGAGCACCUGUAUUUUGAUAUGCUCCUGAUGGCUGAGGAUAGGAUUGAUUAGGUUGUUGUUGAUAGCCAUUAUAGUAAGCAGCAUAUCCUGUAUUGUUGUAUCCAUAAGGAUCAGUACUUUGAUAGGUUCCAUAGCUACUGUAAUCCUGCUGUACAUUUGUGGCACCGGAACUUGGUGUAGUAGCACUAGCUGCAACAUUCAAUCCAUCUUGAAC